GAGAGAGCUGGCGGUCCUUACCUGCGGCGUACGGACUGCUCUGGUGGUCCCUGAGGGUACCCAAGCUGCAGGAUCCCGGCGUGAGGGACGGGCAGCCGGACGUGGCCCCAAAAGUGGUCCUUAUCGGGUUAUACUGGAAGCCACUGGCCUGGCUGCAGGAACUGAAGUCCGCGUAAGCUGAAGCCAGGCUCGAGGUGUCCAUCCCGGCCAUACAGGACUCGUAGGCAGAGGAAUUGAGCACCCCCCAAGACAGCAUGUGGCUGGGGCAGACGGACAGCCAGCAGGUAGAGAAUUGCAGGCUGUAGUGGCUGAAAUCUCAGACAUAGCCCAUUGCCAAGAACAUCAAGAAGUCAUUGAAUCCAUCCCUCUGCCUCAAGGCCUGCUUUCUCUUCCAGUCAAUUCUGGAUAGAAG